rnacentral:rRNA from 1 species
UGGCUCAGGACGAACGCUGGCGGCGUGCUUAACACAUGCAAGUCGAGCGGUAAGGCCCUUCGGGGUACACGAGCGGCGAACGGGUGAGUAACACGUGAGCAACCUGCCCCUGACUCCGGGAUAAGCCGGGGAAACCCGGUCUAAUACCGGAURGGACGCCUCGUCGCAUGGCGGGGUGUGGAAAGGUGUCUUUCCGGUCAGGGAGGGGCUCGCGGCCUAUCAGCUUGUUGGUGGGGUGAAGGCCUACCAAGGCGAUUACGGGUAGCCGGCCUGAGAGGGCGACCGGCCACACUGGGACUGAGACACGGCCCAGACUCCUACGGGAGGCAGCAGUGGGGAAUAUUGCGCAAUGGGCGGAAGCCUGACGCAGCGACGCCGCGUGGGGGAUGACGGCCUUCGGGUUGUAAACCUCUUUUACCACCGACGCAGGCCCGCGCUUCUGUGCGGGUUGACGGUAGGUGGGGAAUAAGGACCGGCCAACUACGUGCCAGCAGCCGCGGUAAUACGUAGGGUCCGAGCGUUGUCCGGAAUUAUUGGGCGUAAAGAGCUCGUAGGUGGCGUGUCGCGUCUGCUGUGUAAGUCCGGGGCUUAACUCCGGUUUUGCAGUGGAUACGGGCAUGCUAGAGGUAGGCAGGGGAGACUGGAAUUCCUGGUGUAGCGGUGAAAUGCGCAGAUAUCAGGAGGAACACCGGUGGCGAAGGCGGGUCUCUGGGCCUUACCUGACGCUGAGGAGCGAAAGCGUGGGGAGCGAACAGGAUUAGAUACCCUGGUAGUCCACGCUGUAAACGUUGGGCGCUAGGUGUGGGGACUUUCCACGGUUUCCGUGCCGUGCUAACGCAUUAAGCGCCCCG